rnacentral:rRNA from 1 species
AUUGAACGCUGGCGGCAUGCUUUACACAUGCAAGUCGAACGGUAACAGGCCUUCGGGUGCUGACGAGUGGCGAACGGGUGAGUAAUGCAUCGGAACGUGCCCAGAGGUGGGGGAUAACGCAGCGAAAGCUGUGCUAAUACCGCAUGUGAUCUGAGGAUGAAAGCGGGGGACCAGGCAGCAAUGUUUGGCCUCGCGCCUUUGGAGCGGCCGAUGUCAGAUUAGGUAGUUGGUGGAGUAAAGGCCUACCAAGCCGACGAUCUGUAGCUGGUCUGAGAGGACGACCAGCCACACUGGGACUGAGACACGGCCCAGACUCCUACGGGAGGCAGCAGUGGGGAAUUUUGGACAAUGGGCGCAAGCCUGAUCCAGCAAUGCCGCGUGCGGGAAGAAGGCCUUCGGGUUGUAAACCGCUUUUGUACGGAACGAAAAGGCUCUGGCUAAUACCUGGGGCUGAUGACGGUACCGUAAGAAUAAGCACCGGCUAACUACGUG